ensembl:snoRNA SNORD16 Small nucleolar RNA SNORD16
UGCAGUGAUGGUGUAAUUUGCGUCUUACGCUGCGCACAGCGACAGUUGCCUGCUGUCACAUGCUGGCGCUGACGGCUGACGAAUGCCAAGUCUGAGCA